GCCCCAGUGGACUAAUGGAUAAGGCACUGGCCUCCUAGGCCAGGGAUUGUGCGUUUCGAGACCCAUCUGGGGUGA
rnacentral:tRNA from 1 species